CUUAUAGCUCAAUGGGUAGAGCAUCCGACUUUUAAUCGGGUGGUUGAAGGUUCAAGUCCUUCUGGGC
rnacentral:tRNA from 1 species